CCUACGGGAGGCAGCAGUGGGGAAUAUUGGGCAAUGGACGCAAGUCUGACCCAGCAACGCCGCGUGAAGGAAGAAGGCUUUCGGGAUGUAAACUUCUGUUAAGGGGGAAGAGCAGAAGACGGGACCCCGAGAAUAAGCCACGGCUAACUACGGGCCAGCAGCCGCGGUAAUACGGAGGUGGCAAGCGGUGUCCGGAUUUACGGGGUGGAAAGGGCGUGCAGCCGGGAAGACCAGUCAGAUGGGAAAUCCCGCGGCUCAACCGCGGAACUGCCUUUGAAACUGUUUUUCUUGAGUAUCGGAGCGGUAAUCGGAAUUCCUAGUGUAGCGGUUAAAUGCGUAGAUAUUAGG
rnacentral:rRNA from 1 species